UACGUAGGGGGCUAGCGUUGUCCGGAAUCAUUGGGCGUAAAGAGCGUGUAGGCGGUCCGGUGAGUCCGCUGUGAAAGUCGGGGGCUCAACCCUCGAAUGCCGGUGGAUACUGUCGGGCUAGAGUGCGGAAGAGGCGAGUGGAAUUCCUGGUGUAGCGGUGAAAUGCGCAGAUAUCAGGAGGAACACCAAUUGCGAAGGCAGCUCGCUGGGACGUAACUGACGCUGAGACGCGAAAGCGUGGGGAGCAAACAGG
rnacentral:rRNA from 1 species